AGCUAGGUAGCUCAGUAGAUAGAGCACCAAGCUGGAAGACUGGAGGUCCUGGGUUCAAAUUCUGGCUUUAGCCA
rnacentral:tRNA from 1 species